AACAAACGCUGGCGGCGUGCCUAAUACAUGCAAGUCGAACGGGGAAAGCUUUCGGGUGAGUACUAGUGGCGCACGGGUGAGUAACGCGUGGAUAAUCUGCCUUAGAGUGGGGGAUAACUAGUCGAAAGAUUAGCUAAUACCGCAUAAGACCACAAGAACUGCGGUUCAAGGGGUCAAAGGUUUUUCGCUCUAAGAUGGGUCCGCGUAAGAUUAGCUAGUUGGUAGGGUAACGGCCUACCAAGGCGACGAUCUUUAACUGGUCUGAGAAGAUGAUCAGUCACACGGGAACUGAGACACGGUCCAGACUCCUACGGGAGGCAGCAGUAGGGAAUAUUGCACAAUGGAGGAAACUCUGAUGCAGCGACGCCGCGUGAGUGAUGAAGGCCUUCGGGUCGUAAAGCUCUGUCGCAGGGGAAUAACACAAUGAAGGUACCCUGUAAGAAAGGAUCGGCUAACUUCGUGCCAGCCGCCGCCGUAACAC
rnacentral:rRNA from 1 species